CGAGUAAGCCAGACAGUCGCGGGGACAAGGCGAAAGCCUGUUCAUGAGGAAAGUCCGGGCUCCACAGGGCAAGGAUAACGGGUAACGCCCGCCGAAGGCGACUUCAGGAAAAGUGCAACAGAGAUAUACCGCCCCUUUGGGGGUAAGGGUGGAAAGGCGAGGUAAGAGCUCACCCAUCGGCUCGAGAGUGUCCGAUGCUGUAAACUCUAUCCGGAGCAACACCGGUAUGGGAGCAAUAGGGCGGCCCGUCCGCUCCCGAGGUGGCUGAAGCGCACCGGCAACGGCGCGCUUAGAUAGAUGACUGUCAAAUACAGAACCCGGCUUACAGACUUGCUCGCGCA
rnacentral:RNase_P_RNA from 2 species